rnacentral:rRNA from 1 species
UGAGUAACCUGCCCUUAACUCUGGGAUAAGCCUGGGAAACUGGGUCUAAUACCGGAUAUGACUCCUCAUCGCAUGGUGGGGGGUGGAAAGCUUUUUUGUGGUUUUGGAUGGACUCGCGGCCUAUCAGCUUGUUGGUGAGGUAAUGGCUCACCGAGGCGACGACGGGUAGCCGGCCUGAGAGGGUGACCGGCCACACGUGGGACUGAGACACGGCCCAGACCUCCGUACGGGAGGCAG